CAGAGGUGGCAAGCGUUGUUCGGAAUUACUGGGCGUAAAGGGCGCGUAGGCGGCCAUCUAAGUCAGACGUGAAAUCCCCCGGCUUAACCUGGGAACUGCGUCUGAUACUGGAGGGCUCGAGUUUCGGGAGAGGGAUGUGGAAUUCCAGGUGUAGCGGUGAAAUGCGUAGAUAUCUGGAGGAACACCGGUGGCGAAGGCGGCAUCCUGGACCAACACUGACGCUGAGGCGCGAAAGCUAGGGGAGCAAACGGGAUUAGAUACCCCGGUAGUCCUAGCCCUAAACGAUGAAUGCUUGGUGUGGCGGGUAUCGAUCCCUGCCGUGCCGAAGCUAACGCAUUAAGCAUUCCGCCUGGGGAGUACGGUCGCAAGGCUG
rnacentral:rRNA from 1 species